rnacentral:tRNA from 1 species
CGGGGUAUAGCUUAAUGGAUAAAGCAGUAACCUUCUAAGUUAUUGAUCUAAGUUCGAUUCUUAGUAUCCCGACCA